CGGAGUCAAGUUCGUCUAAAGGAUUCACUAGUUAUCAAAAAAUAUAUACAAAUGGACAAUUCUUGAUGAAUAGCAUUACCGGAGUAUUGUGGACAUAGAUAGUCUGCAAUGUGAAAUAAAAAAAAACAAUCAAUGGAUUACACGAAAUCAAUGCAGCCCAUGUCUUCUGGUGGUGCCAUCCAACGGAAAUCAACUCGGCGUUCAUCGGUGGGUCGUCGUUUUGCGUAAGAAUGCAAAAUGGUGCACAUUUUUCGUUGACGCUGAGAAGUCUUUUGUUAUUGAGAAGAAUGGAAAACUUCAUAGAUGGAAUCAAACCAGCUUAAUAGCAAGUUAUUGUUAAAUUACUUGUUUGACGAUGGAGCCACUUGGAGUUGCAGAAUAGACUCCCGUGAUCAUUGCUGAAUCAAAAUCCUCGAGUAAUCUGACAGUAACUGUAUAACAUGAAAUCGUUUUUAUGCAAAAGCUAUACGGUAAUAGUAAAUAAAUUAAAAAUUUUCAUU